rnacentral:rRNA from 1 species
UACGUAGGGGGCGAGCGUUACCCGGAUUUACUGGGCGUAAAGGGGGCGUAGGCGGCCGUGAAAGUCCGGUGUGAAAACUCACGGCUCGACCGUGGGACUGCGCUGGAAACUACACGGCUUGAGGACGGUAGAGGGAGACGGAACUGCUGGUGUGGGGGUGAAAUCCGUAGAUAUCAGCAGGAACGCCGGUGGAGAAGUCGGUCUCCUGGGCCGUUCCUGACGCUGAGGCCCGAAAGCUAGGGGAGCAAACCGG